UGUGCAGGCGGGUGAAGCAGUCGUGCAUGAAAGCCGUUCGCUCAACGGACGGAGGCUGUGCGAUACUUUUCACCUAGAGGGUGUCAGAGGAACGCGGAAUUCCGGGUGUAGUGGUGAAAUGCGUAGAUAUCCGGAAGAACACCAGAGGCGAAGGCGGCGUUCUAGGGCAUACCUGACGCUCAGACACGACAGCAUGGGGAGCGAACGGGAUUAGAAACCCCGGUAGUCCAUGCCGUAAACGAUGGAUGCGAGGCGUGGGACGGAGAAGUCCGUUCCGUGUCGGAGGGAAACCGGUAAGCAUCCCGCCUGGGGAGUACGGUCGCAAGGCUAAA
rnacentral:rRNA from 1 species